GAUCCUGGCUCAGGAUGAACGCUAGCUACAGGCUUAACACAUGCAAGUCGAGGGGCAGCGGGGAUUGAAGCUUGCUUCAAUUGCCGGCGACCGGCGCACGGGUGAGUAACGCGUAUCCAACCUUCCGCAUACUCGGGGGAUAGCCUUCUGAAAAGGAGAUUAAUACCCGAUGGUAUCGAGAGAUUGCAUGAUAACUUGAUUAAAGAAUUUCGGUAUGCGAUGGGGAUGUCU
rnacentral:rRNA from 1 species